AACGAACGCUGGCGGCAUGCCUAACACAUGCAAGUCGAACGAGACCUUCGGGUCUAGUGGCGCACGGGUGCGUAACGCGUGGGAACCUGCCCUUAGGUUCGGAAUAACUCCCCGAAAGGGGUGCUAAUACCGGAUAAUGUCUUCGGACCAAAGAUUUAUCGCCUUGGGAUGGGCCCGCGUUGGCUUAGCUAGUUGGUAGGGUAAAAGCCUACCAAGGCGACGAUCCAUAGCUGGUCUGAGAGGAUGAUCAGCCACACUGGGACUGAGACACGGCCCAGACUCCUACGGGAGGCAGCAGUGGGGAAUAUUGGACAGUGGGCGAAAGCCUGAUCCAGCAAUGCCGCGUGAGUGAUGAAGGCCUUAGGGUUGCAAAGCUCUUUUACCCGGGAUGAUAAUGACAGUACCGGGAGAAUAAGCUCCGGCUAACUCCGUG
rnacentral:rRNA from 1 species